rnacentral:rRNA from 1 species
GAUUUGUCUGGUUAAUUCCGAUAACGAACGAGACCUUAACCUGCUAACUAGUUUUUCCAUUCUUAAUGGUUACAACUUCUUAGAGGGACUAUGUAAUUUAACUAUAUGGAAGUUUGAGGCAAUAACAGGUCUGUGAUGCCCUUAUAUGUCCUGGGCUGCACGCGUGCUACACUGAUGUAUACAGCAAGUGCCUAACUAGAUAUGGUAUGGCAAUCUCGAAUAUGCAUCGUGAUGGGGAUAGAUCUUUGCAAUUAUAGAUCUUGAACGAGGAAUUCCUAGUAAGUGCAAGUCAUCAUCUUGCAUUGAUUACGUCCCUGCCCUUUGUACACACCGCCCGUCGCUCCUACCGAUACCGGGUGAUCCGGUGAACCUUUUGGACCUUUCACGAGGAAAGAUAAGUAAACCAUAUCACCUAGAGGAAGGAGAAGUCGUAACAAGGUUUCCGUAGGUGAACCUGCRGAAGGAUCA